AUAAUAUUGUGGAUCAGAUUGCUCUGAGCGCUUCUGUUGUAUACCAAGAAAAUGCACCCCUGUUGGUUAUUAUUUCUGUAUCGCAAAGCGACUAUUAAUUACAAGCACAGCAUCAUCAACGGUGAUUGCAAGAACUACUGCAAUCCCUGCGGUUUUUCCUCUUGGUAAAUGCGUUCUGGUCGUGACCAAGGGUGGUCUCCCAAUCGGCCGGGAAUAAGGCUAUUGUUGCAGAACAAAACGCCACAACCACCGCUGUGGUAAAUAUGUUCCAGCAGUACUGCCCACCGCCGUCGGUGUAAUGAUUUCGAUAGCUGAACAAAUGCUAUUAUAUCACGU